AGUGAACGCUGGCGGUAGGCCUAACACAUGCAAGUCGAACGGCAGCACAGUAAGGGCUUGCUCUUACGGGUGGCGAGUGGCGGACGGGUGAGGAAUACAUCGGAAUCUACUUUUUCGUGGGGGAUAACGUAGGGAAACUUACGCUAAUACCGCAUACGACCUACGGUUGAAAGCAGGGGAUCUUCGGACCUUGCGCGAUUGAAUGAGCCGAUGUCGGAUUAGCUAGUUGGCGGGGUAAAGGCCCACCAAGGCGACGAUCCGUAGCUGGUCUGAGAGGAUGAUCAGCCACACUGGAACUGAGACACGGUCCAGACUCCUACGGGAGGCAGCAGUGGGGAAUAUUGGACAAUGGGCGCAAGCCUGAUCCAGCCAUACCGCGUGGGUGAAGAAGGCCUUCGGGUUGUAAAGCCCUUUUGUUGGGAAAGAAAAGCAGCAGGUUAAUACCCCGCUGUUCUGACGGUACCCAAAGAAUAAGCACCGGCUAACUUCGUG
rnacentral:rRNA from 1 species